GAUAUCAAUGGAUAUUAUAAAGGGAAACUUAGAUGGAAUUUCAAAACCAGCCUCAAAUUCAAGGACACGUCCUGGGAGCCAAAGUUCAAAUGCUUCUUUGGAGGUGCUCUCACCAGAACCAGCAUCCUUCAAGGUUGAUACUGCAGUCAAUUUGAACUCUGAUAAAGAAGCCCACUCAGAAAGCAAUAAUGCAGAGAAAAGUAGAAACAGUAAUGAUAAUAAAGGGGAAAGCUACUCUGAGAAAGUAAAAUUGCCUGAAGAGGGGUCAGAUGAAGAUUCAAACUUGGGUCAACAUCAGAUAGUCCCUGAAUGUUCAGAUGAAUUUGAAUUAAAAGAAUUAGAUUUUCAACUUCAGGAUGCUAUUCGGAAGAUGAAGAGGCUUGACAAGAUAUUGGUGAAGAGACAAUACAGAGAAAAAGAAAUUAAGAAGCAAGGUCUAGAAAUGAGAAUAAAGCUGUGGGAGGAACUUAAGUCUGCAAAAAAUGGUGAAGUUUUGCAAAGUAAUGAGGAGAUGGAAAAUACAAAAAAGUUUCUAGCUUUGACUGCUGCAUCAGAAGAAACUGUUGAUCCUUCUUGUAACAAGCAUGAAGAUACCUUUUUCUCUGUGUUUCACACUCAAGUUCCACCAGAAAACUAUGAAAAUCAUAUGCAGAAUGUCAAACAAGAUUUUACCUAUGAUGUGGAAAGAAAUGAGUCAAUGAUCAAAGAAGAAAAUAAACCUUUCUCAAAUACAGAAAAGAUUGAGCUCAGGGGUAAACACAGCCAGGAUUUUAUUAAGCGAAACAUUGAGUUGGCCAAGAAUUCGGGAAAACCAGUGGUGAUGAUUGACAGAGAAAAGGAAAAGCUGGUUGAACUUUUGAAGGACUUAGACGAUAGUGAUUCAGGGCUGUCCAGUUCUGAGAAACCUGACCUUAAUGGUGAUGGUAGAAAUACAGAAGUAACUCCAGGAGAAAAGGUUCUUCAAAACACCAAAGAACAACGGGAUCAGCAGAAUCGGUUGAGAGAGAUAGAUGAAAAACUAAGAAAGAUGAAGGAAAAUGUGUUAGAUUCAACAUCACUUCUCUCUGAGGAACAGUUAAGGUGUCUUCUGGAUGAAUGCUCGUUCAAACAAAAGUCCACAGUUAGACUGUCUCCAGAAAAAGAAGAGAAAGACAUUGAGGAUAUAACACCUGAGUUCCCCCAACUUUCUGGAUCUAUUCUCUCUGAGUCAUUAAACAGGUCAAAAACAAAGGUUAGAAGCACUGAAGUGGAGGACAUAAAUGUGCCCAAGAAUGGAGAAUGUGAAACAUCCAGAGGCUACUUUCUCACCAAAGCCUUGACUGGGCAUCACACGUCACCAGCUCUUCUCCUUGAAGCAGAGAAUGUGAAGUGCCUUCAGUUUUCUGAGGACAAGGUUAUUGGUGAUGCAGAAGACUACUUCAUGUCUAAGACUCUGGGCAUUGGGAGACUGAAAAGGCCCUCUUUCUUGGACGAUCCACUGUAUGGCGUCAGUGUGAGCCUUUCAUCUGAAGACCAACAUGUGAAACUCAGCCCUCCAGAGACACUCAAACCAGAUGAACAGGAGACUGAAGAUGUGACAGAAGAAUGUAAAGAAUCUUAAGCAGUGACUGGCUGGGUUGUGCUUUUAAGAGAGUUG
rnacentral:lncRNA from 1 species